CUCAUUUAAGGGUUGGCAGUGGAAGUGAGGGCCUCUCCCUGGAGCUCCCUGUGUCCCUGAGGCCUUCUGAAGGGAGAAAAGCUUCACCCAUCUCUUGCACAUCACACUUGGAGGUGAGAGAAGUGUCACAGAGCCAGGAGAGAUGAUCUGAGACAGAGCUUACAAGAAGGCAGCACUGAAAAACCCGACCUGUCAGGGCAAGCAGCGUCAGCUCAGCUCAACAUCACUGCUGGACGGUGCUCUGCUUCCACUUCAGUGUUCCUUUUAAUAUCGUUAAAGGCCAUCAUGUGGGUACCCAACGAGGGGCAGCUGGAGGGAUGCACGCGGGGACCCUGGAGGAUGCGCACAGGUUGUGAGUGCUGGGAGAAGCCCUGUGCAGGGGGGGCAGAGAGCUCAGGCUGCAGGGUUUAUCGGAAGGACAGCGGAGGUGACUUGAUUGCCAUGUGUAAGUACCUUCCUGGGAGCAAACACAGCUGCUGAAGUAUCUUUAAUCUAGUGAAGGAAGACAUAACAAGAGCCUGGAGUUUGAUCGUGUCUGGCUGCUGCUUCCCACUGGAAAAAUAAGGCACGUGCUUCUCGCAGCCAGGCUGGUUAACACAGGGUCAGCAAAGAGAUGCAUUUUGUAUUUUAAUGGCUUCGAAUCUACACCAGGGACCAUUGCUGGGGGCAGAGCCACCCAGUACCCCCCCUGCUUCCUGUGGAAGGGUGGUAUAAGGAGGUGGGUGAUGCAUAAAGCAGCUGGAGCAAGUUAUUUCGUGGAGCAAGCCUUUUUGUGGCUUCGGUGCCACUACAUUUGCCUCUCCUAAAAGCUCUGCACUGCAGAGUGCAUAAAAAUCCCUCCCUUGCGCUCACCACGUCAGUUUGCUCACAUCCUUCCAACCCCAACCACCCCAUAGGGCUGCCAACCUGCUCCUGCCCUGCAGCAAUCUGUACAACCACUGGGACAGAGGGAUGCAAUGCACUCAGAGCUCCGGGCCGCCGUGUUGUGUCAUGCAUGAGUUUCUCUCAUUUGUUUUCCAUUCAAGAUUGGAAAGAAGAAACAGAGGGAGAAGAAACAAACCCAAGCUGACCAAGUGACUUGGAAAGAAGCCAGCCAAGGGGAGCCCCCAUUUGCUUUUGUUUGCAGAGAACCCAGGGCAAAGCCCCGCUCCAGCUGGGGCAUGUCACCAGCUCCUAAAUCCCUGCCCUCAGCUUCAUUAGCAAGCAGUAGAGAGCAGAACUGCUCACCUGGGCUGGCAGAGGAAUGCAAUCAUGCAUGAGUGCCAUGAUAUCGUAGCAUCAUAAUGCAGAAGUACAACGAUGCAGCACUUCCCCUGCAUGGGGCUUUCCAGGAGCAGGGGCAGCAGAUGCCAUAAAUCGUUCAGCAAAAGGACAGGGAAGCGCCAUAGGAGCCGUUACCUCCUCAGAAGUCAAACAGCACAGAUUAGAAUGGAAACGACUCGGGUGUUUUCGCAGGGCUGGGCAGGGAUUGUUCAAGGCUCAGCAGUUCUCUGAGCUCCGUCUCCAGGUCAUUGAUUUAUUUGCUUCUUUGCCACUUGCAUUGCGUGCUGUGCUGAGGGAGGCUGUGAGGGCUCUGGGGCUGCACCUGGGGGCAAUUUGGGGUGCAGGGAAGGUCCCACAGGGCUGAGAAACCGUAGCUUGAUGGAGCACGGGGCUGAGCCAAGCAGCGCAAAGCAAUGGCCACACACCGCUGUUGCUUUCCUGCUGAUCCCUGUGCACGUAGGGGGACAAAUGUGCCCAGAUCCUCCCCGAGCGGUCCCAGGGAGGAUGGCAUGGUGUAUAUAAAGACAUACAGAAGAGCAGUGGUUGGCUGCAGGAGCUCAGCAAUUAGAGGUGAUGCUGUUGGGUUUGGCACUGAACUCGGAGAUGCAGUGAAGAUGCUGUGAUGCACCCGGUGCCACUCUGACGUUUGGUUUUUAGGCUUUUUAGCAGCUGGGAUGGAUUGAAGCUGUAGAGCAAAGUGUGCUUUUCUGUCCUACCUGCACCAGGGCCUUGUUGUCAUCAUGCAAAAACAACCAUUCAUACAGCAACAGCCAACUACUGGGGAGCAGUGAGCUGUGCAAGGUGUUGUGCAAGGUCCAGCUUCCAUGUAGGGAGGAAACAAAGAGCAUCUCCUGCUCCCCACUUAAUGCAUCUCAGGGGGGACCUGGCAGUGCCUUACUCUGCUCUGCAACCUCCUGAGCAGGGCCAAAAGCAGAGCCUCCUUCCCAAACCCUGCAGUCCUUUGUAGGGAUGUGUGGCACUGAGCUGUGCGCUGAGCGCACUUUUCUCUUUAUAUUACCCAAAGGAAUGAACUGCUAUUAUGAAAUCAUUAAAUUAAUAACUUGGUAAUAUAGGCAGAUAUAUAAAACAAUCUGUUCCUAGAACAAAAGGAAUUUCCACGUCCCAAACAUCCAUAAUUUAAUUUAACAGCGAAUUAAAGCGCUGUACAUAAUUCCCCCCCCCUCCAAAAGUCAAUAGUGCUGUGCCAAUAGAGCCCUGCGUGUGCUGGGGGUGGGAAGGGGCUGUGCAAUGGCACUGGGAUGGGUAGAAUUGCUCCAAAUGGGACUUUAGGGAGAGCUGCACCCUUCAGUGCUGCUUUUCUACCCCAUUCUUCACCCAUCCUGAAGGGCAGAGGAACCCAACGCAGCACUUAAACCAGCCCAGCUCCCAUCUCCCUCCUCCUUCCAUUUCCAUUUACUUUACCCAAUAUUUUUGUCCCCCUUUUGUUUGAAAUUAAUUUGUUAUAAUUUACGGGAGCGUAUUUUGAUUGCUUUUGAUUAAGUUUAACAAGCAGGGGAAAAAAAAAAGCCUCCCGCAUUAAACAUCAAAGCAAACAAAUCCGUUUUCGAGGCCCG
ensembl:lncRNA